rnacentral:rRNA from 1 species
GCGACCCCAGGUCAGGCGGGAUCACCCGCU